rnacentral:ncRNA from 1 species
UGUUCUCGGGGCGGGGCGAGAUUCCCCACCGGCGGUAAUUUGCGGUGCAGCGUUGUUAGCUGUCUCCACAAAAAGCCCGCGAGCGCCUGACUACCAAUCAGGAUUAGCAGAUUCGGUUUAAAUCCGAAGCCGACGGUUACAGUCCGGAUGAUAGAGAAUG